rnacentral:rRNA from 1 species
GACGAACGCUGGCGGCGUGCUUAACACAUGCAAGUCGAGCGAUGAAGCACCUUCGGGUGUGAAUUAGCGGCGAACGGGUGAGGAACACGUGAGAAAUCUGCCUUCAACACUGGGAUAACUCCGGGAAACCGGGGCUAAUACCGGAUAUGAAACCUGCGGGCAUCCGCGGGUUUGGAAAGUUUUUCGGUUGAAGAUGAUCUCGCGGCCUAUCAGCUUGUUGGUGAGGUAAUGGCUCACCAAGGCGACGACGGGUAGCCGGCCUGAGGGGGCGACCGGCCACACUGGGACUGGGACACGGCCCAGACUCCUACGGGCGGCAGCAGUGGGGAAUAUUGGGCAAUGGAGGAAACUCUGACCCAGCGACGCCGCGUGCGGGAUGAAGGCCUUCGGGUUGUAAACCGCUUUCAGCAGGGAAGAAGCGAAAGUGACGGUACCUGCAGAAGAAGCACCGGCUAACUAUGUGCCAGCCGCCGCGGUAA